rnacentral:rRNA from 1 species
CGAGGUGGCGAGCGUUGUUCGGAUUUACUGGGCGUAAAGGGUGCGUAGGUGGUUAGGUAAGUCGGAUGUGAAAGCCCAAGGCUCAACUUUGGAACUGCAUCCGAUACUGCUUGACUAGAGUGCAGGAGGGGAGAGCGGAAUUCUUGGUGUAGCGGUGAAAUGCGUUGAUAUCAAGAAGAACACCGGUGGCGAAGGCGGCUCUCUGGAAUGUUACUGACACUGAGGCACGAAAGUUGGGGGAGCAAACAGGAUUAGAUACCCGAGUAGUCC